rnacentral:lncRNA from 1 species
AGGAAACCUUUCUAUAUAGACUAAAAAAGGUUUUCUGAGUCUCAAUCUCUCAUUCUUUUGCGAAUUCUGUUCUUUCAAAGUGGGAAGAGCUUGCAGAACUUGGCUUUGAAGAUAAACACACAGCUAGUGAUUUGCAAAGUGAAUGGCUGUUACUUGGCGAAUAAGUUUAGUUUUAAGUGGUUCUAGAGGGUAAAAAGAAGAAUUUCAAUAUAGCCAAAACAUGGGUUUCCCAGUCUGAAUCUCUAAUUCUUUGGCGAAUUCUGUUCUCUCCAAGUGGGAAAAGCCUGUAGGAAGUUGACUUUCAAGAUAAACACACAGCUAGUGUUUUGCAAAUUGAAUGGUGUUACUUGGCCAAUAAGCUUAGUUUUAAGUGGUUCUAUACGGUAAAAAGCAUACUUUUUUUUAUGGACAAAACAUGGGUUUCCUUUCCCAGUCUGAAUUGAUCAUUCUUUUGCGAAUCGUGUUCGUUCCAAGUGGGAAAGGAUUGUAGGAAGUU